rnacentral:tRNA from 2 species
GCCCGGAGAGCUCAGUGGGUAGAGCAUCAGACUUUUAAUCUGAGGGUCCAGGGUUCAAGUCCUCGUUCGGGCA